rnacentral:snRNA from 1 species
GGAUGUGAGGGCGAUCUGGCUGCAAUAUCUUUUACCCCAUUGACCUCCAAGAAUGAUUUAGCUGAUCUAGCUGGCUAGCUGGGCAUCCCUUUCUCCCUCAUCGCUCUAGUUGCUUCCCUCCUGAAUCUGUGUGCUUGGUCAAAUAUGACAACUUCCCAGAUACAGGAGGAUGCCUUCCUCAGUCAGGAGCAUAAAAUCAGCUGUGCUCUACUGCUAGAUCCUCCAAACAAGCUUCCAAGGCUAUAGUUUGGAAUUUAACAGUUCUAGAGAGCAUGGAUUUCAAAUGGAUAACUGAAAGCUACUGCUUUUUAAU